rnacentral:rRNA from 1 species
CCUACGGGAGGCAGCAGUGGGGGAUAUUGCACAAUGGAGGAAACACUGAUGCAGCGACGCCGCGUGAGGGAAGACGGUCUUCGGAUCGUAAACCUCUGUCAGCAGGGGAGAACGGUCACUGUGCUAAUCAGCAGUGAAUUGACGGUACCUGCAAGGGAAGCACCGGCUAACUCCGUGCCAGCGGCCGCGGUAAUACAUGGGAUGCAAGCGUUAUCCGGAUUUACUGGGCGAAAAGCGAGCGCAGGCGGGUUUACAAGUUUGGUAUGAAGGGCUUUUGCUUAACGAAAGAUUGUAUCAAAAACUGUUAAUCUAGAGUGUAGUAGAGAGUGCUGGAAUUCCAGGUGGAGCGGUGGAAUGCGUAGAUAUAUGGAAGAACACCAGUGGCGAAGGCGAGAACUUAGGCUAUCACUGACGCUUAGGCUCGAAAGCGUGGGUAUCAAACAGGAUUAGAUACCCGUGUAGUC